UAGCUGUGAGGAUAAAAGCGCUUUUGUGAUAGUUGGGUCUGUCACACUUGUCUGAUCUGAUGAUUGAAAAUCAGCGCAUCUGAGCUC